UACAGAGGGUGCAAGCGUUAAUCGGAAUUACUGGGCGUAAAGCGUGCGUAGCCGGUUACAUAAGUCGGGUGUGAAAGCCCCGGGCUCAACCUGGGAAUUGCAUUCGAGACUGCGUAGCUAGGGUGCGGAAGAGGGAAGCGGAAUUUCCGGUGUAGCGGUGAAAUGCGUAGAUAUCGGAAGGAACACCAGUGGCGAAAGCGGCUUCCUGGUCCAGCACCGACGUUCAGGCACGAAAGCGUGGGGAGCAAGCAGG
rnacentral:rRNA from 1 species